rnacentral:rRNA from 1 species
AGCGAACGCUGGCGGCAGGCCUAACACAUGCAAGUCGAGCGCCCGUAGCAAUACGGGAGCGGCAGACGGGAUAGUAACACGUGGGAACGUACCCUUCAGUUCGGAACAACCCAGGGAAACUUGGGCUAAUACCGAAUACGUCCGUAAGGAGAAAGAUUUAUCGCUGAAGGAUCGGCCCGCGUCUGAUUAGCUAGUUGGUGAGGUAAUGGCUCACCAAGGCGACGAUCAGUAGCUGGUCUGAGAGGAUGAUCAGCAUCACUGGGACUGAGACACGGCCCAGACUCCUACGGGAGGCAGCAGUGGGGAAUAUUGGACAAUGGGCGCAAGCCUGAUCCAGCCAUGCCGCGUGGAUGAUGAAGGCCCUAGGGUUGUAAAGCUCUUUGUGCGGGAAGAUAAUGACGGUACCGCAAGAAUAAGCCCCGGCUAACUUCGUGCCAGCCGCCGCAGUAAC